UACGAAGGGGGGCUAGCGUUGCUCGGAAUCACUGGGCGUAAAGGGCGCGUAGGCGGACUUUUAAGUCAGGGGUGAAAUCCUGAGGCUCAACCUCAGAACUGCCUUUGAUACUGAGGGUCUCGAGACCGGUAGAGGUAAGUGGAACUGCGAGUGUAGAGGUGAAAUUCGUAGAUAUUCGCAAGAACACCAGUGGCGAAGGCGGCUUACUGGACCGGUUCUGACGCUGAGGCGCGAAAGCGUGGGGAGCAAACAGG
rnacentral:rRNA from 1 species